GCCCUCGUAGCUCAGCGGAUAGAGCAUUUGCUUGCGGAGCAAAGGGUCGGGUGUUCGAAUCACCCCGAGGGCG
rnacentral:tRNA from 1 species